rnacentral:tRNA from 1 species
AAGGGUGUAGCUCAGUGAUAGAGCGCUUGCCUAGCAUGUGCAAGGCCCUGGGUUCCAUCCCCAGCACCCUGA